rnacentral:hammerhead_ribozyme from 1 species
AUACGGCUGACGAAUCCCAAAUAGGACGAGACGCGCGUCCUGGAU